GAUGAACGCUGGCGGCGUGCCUAAUACAUGCAAGUCGAGCGAACAGACGAGGAGCUUGCUCCUCUGACGUUAGCGGCGGACGGGUGAGUAACACGUGGAUAACCUACCUAUAAGACUGGGAUAACUUCGGGAAACCGUAGCUAAUACCGGAUAAUAUUUUGAACCGCAUGGUUCAAUAGUGAAAGACGGUCUUGCUGUCACUUAUAGAUGGAUCCGCGCCGCAUUAGCUAGUUGGUAAGGUAACGGCUUACCAAGGCAACGAUGCGUAGCCGACCUGAGAGGGUGAUCGGCCACACUGGAACUGAGACACGGUCCAGACUCCUACGGGAGGCAGCAGUAGGGAAUCUUCCGCAAUGGGCGAAAGCCUGACGGAGCAACGCCGCGUGAGUGAUGAAGGUCUUCGGAUCGUAAAACUCUGUUAUUAGGGAAGAACAAAUGUGUAAGUAACUAUGCACGUCUUGACGGUACCUAAUCAGAAAGCCACGGCUAACUACGUG
rnacentral:rRNA from 1 species